rnacentral:rRNA from 1 species
CAGUCGCCGCGGGAAUACAGAGGGUGCGAGCGUUAAUCGGAUUUACUGGGCGUAAAGCGUGCGUAGGCGGCUUCUUAAGUCGGAUGUGAAAUCCCUGAGCUUAACUUAGGAAUUGCAUUCGAUACUGGGAAGCUAGAGUAUGGGAGAGGAUGGUAGAAUUCCAGGUGUAGCGGUGAAAUGCGUAGAGAUCUGGAGGAAUACCGAUGGCGAAGGCAGCCAUCUGGCCUAAUACUGACGCUGAGGUACGAAAGCAUGGGGAGCAAACAGGAUUAGAUACCCGCGUAGUCCCUGUCUCUUAUAA